rnacentral:lncRNA from 1 species
UCGAAGCCAGGUUGACCACGUGACCGUAUGUCAACGGACCGUCAAGGCCUGUUUCAUCGGACCGCCCUGCCGAUCUCUCGGCGUGGAGGAAACGUAAACAAAGGAGCUGUGCGCACCUGCUUUAAACAGAAGGCAGAAAACAAUGAGCCAGCCAUCAUCGUGCAGGAAGCCGACGCCAAAUGGGCUGCUGCUGAAUCGGUCAGGCAUGCACCAGCUAGGACCAAGAAAAUGGAGCAGUGUGCCUCUUCUCAGGAGUGACUGAGGGGCUGCCACAAGGGGAGAAGGCA